ensembl:lncRNA
GGGCAAUUAAUAUGGUGAUCCUAUGGGGCAGUCCAUGAGGUGGCCCUAUGGGGUGGGCCUAUAGGGGUAGACAAUGGGGUGGCUCUAUAGGGGCAGACAAUGGGGUGACCAUAUGGGGCAGGCAAUGGGGUGAUCCUAUAGGGCAGUCUAUGGGGUGGCCCUAUAGGGCAGAGGCACAGCAGGGACCCACAUUAGGGGCUGUUAAUGGGGUUGUGGGUCUAUUUGUGGGGCAGCCUGAGGAUCAGCCCCUCGUAGGGCAGCAGCUGCAGCUCCGCCAUCUUGACGGGGGGGUCCGCCAUGUUGGGGGGGGGCCGGUGCGUGCUCAGCACCACGUGACCGCUGGGGGGGAGGGGAGACGGGGUGGGACCGGAAGUGGGCGUGGCUACAUCCGGUUGAGACCGGAAAGGGUUUAUAAGCUCCGCCCCCGGGUUGAGGAGUAACAGGAAGCGCUCCCCGGCCACGCCCCCUCUUAAAAUGGCGAUGCCGCUUUGUGGGCCCGCCCAUAAUAACUCGGCAUCACCCACUGCCAGCGCUUCCUCCUUCUCACGAAGCUUCCGGAGCCGGCGGCUCAAUGUCAGCAAUUGGGCCUAGAACGGGAGGGGGGAGGAGUCACUAUAGGACACGACCCCUCCCCAUAUACUCCAAGUGGGCCCACCCCCAGGCGUUGCCCUUUUAAGAACAUUGCCGCUUGAAGGAGCCCCUCGUUACCCAUUCAUGGGCCCACCUGGAGGUGUUGCCCCUUUAAGACACAUUGUCCAUUUAAGACCCGACCCCGCCCACCUGGCUGCUGUUCCCAGGCCCCCACCCUUUAUAUACUUUAAGUGGGCCCACCCGCAACCAUCGCCCUUUUAAGAACGUUGCCACUUGAAGGAAUGGAAGCCACACCCUUCUAAGCCCCGCCCCGUUCAUUACGUAUUCACGGACCCACCCUGGGCCCACCCUGAGGCGUUGCCACUUUAAGAACGCAUUGCCCCUUUAAGAGCUGACCCCGCCCUUUUAAGCCCCGCCCACCUUGGUGCUGUUCCCGCCCUCCUGCAGCGCCUCCAAUUCCUUCCAGGGCAUCGGGGUCAGCUGCAGGGCAAAAGGUCACAGGUCAUGACCCCAUAGAACCCCCAUAGAACCCCAUAUAACCCCAUAGAAUUUCAUAUAACCCCAUAUAACACCAUAACCCCCACAAACCCCCAUAUGACCCCAUAUAAUCCCCAUAGAACCCCAUAGAACCCCCACAGAAUCCCAUAUAACCCCAUAGAACCCCCACAGAAUCCCAUAGAACCCCAAAUAACCCCAUAGAAUCCCAUAUAACCCCAUAGAACCCCAUAGAACCCCAUAGAAUCCCAUAUAACCCCCAUAGAAUUCCAUAGAACCCCAUAUAACCCCCAUAGAACCCCAUAUAACCCCAUAGAACCCCAUAGAAUUCCAUAGAACCCCAUAGAAUCCCAU